rnacentral:rRNA from 1 species
UGGGGAAUAUUGCACAAUGGGCGCAAGCCUGAUGCAGCCAUGCCGCGUGUUUGAAGAAGGCCUUCGGGUUGUAAAGUACUUUCAGCGGGGAGGAAGGGAGUAAAGUUAAUACCUUUGCUCAUUGACGUUCCCCGCAGAAGAAGCACCGCCUAACUCCGUGCCAGCAGUCGCGGUAAUACGGAGGGUGCAAGCGUUAAUCGGAAUUACUGGGCGUAAAGCGCACGCAGGCGGUUUGUUAAGUCAGAUGUGAAAUCCCCGGGCUCAACCUGGGAACUGCAUCUGAUACUGGCAAGCUUGAGUCUCGUAGAGGGGGGUAGAAUUCCGGGUGUAGCGGUGAAAUGCGUAGAGAUCUGGAAGAAUACCGGUGGCGAAGGCGGCCCCCUGGACAAAGACUGACGCUCAGGUGCGAAAGCGUAGGGAGCAAACAGG